ensembl:lncRNA
GUUUUUGGUGACUGCCUUUGACUGACAGAGCGGCAGCACUCUCCAGUGAUACAGUUUCCACUGUUUGAAGAUAAAGUGGUCUGCAGAAGUCUCCUCCUUUUUGUCCGAUGAUGUCAAUGUAUUUUUCUUCAUGCUGGUAACUCCUGAAAAGAUUAUUAGAAAUGGAAAAUAGGAAUUUUUGUAUUCCUUUUUUUUUUUUUUUGGUCAACUAAUACUUUAAAAAUCUGUACCCAAGAGACUUGUGGUUGAGACUUAGCAGUGUAGCAGAGACUGUUCCUUCCAGGUUGUUUUGUUCAGGGACCUCUCUUCUUCAUUUGAGUUGUGUUUCAUCACUUUACAAUUUGUGACUACUCAAAGACCUGCAGCAUUAGAAUGGGUGAUUGUAAGUGUACGCAAAGGUACACAUGAUGUGUAAUUAAAUUGUCAACCUUUCGCAAGACGCACUACCCAAAUAGAUAAGUUAAGUGGAGGAUAGCAUUCCACUGUCCUUAUACCCCACAGCCAAAAUGGCAAUAACGGAGAUACAGCAGAUACACCUAUGAUACCAGUUAGAACAUUAUACAGAGAUGCAGAUUUAAUGGUUUUCUGACAUCAGCUAUUCUGCAAAACUGCAUUCUGUCAUAAAUUCUUUUUAUUUAUUUGUUUAUUUUUGUCAGAUACCAAUUUAUUUAAAAAUAGAUUUUAUUUGGGGAAACAGGCAUAGUAUUUGAAAUCGAGUUGAUUUUAGUGUCUGAUUCAAAGGAGAGAGUUUCUUAGUAGCUUGUGUAUAACUUCUGUUAAAAAUGCUUUUUUUUUCUGCAGGUCUGUAAUCUUGAUUGAAACUGUAGAAAUAAAAAUGUAUUUAAUGUAUCAGUGAUGUUUUGGAAGAACCUGCCUUUUCUCGGGAUGUGAGCGUGUGGAAUGAAGUAUCUGCUGAUUUCAGUGUCUGACAUCAUAUUGUAAGACUGCCUUUCGUACGGAGAAGAAAAUGAGGUUAAAACAUUAUCAAAAAUGUUUAGUGACAAAGAUCUCAGUGAUGGCAAUUUGUCCAGAAAAUGGAAGUGUACGGUUGUUAACUGCUACGUGAAAUUCUGAGGGUAAGAACUUAAAAACUACCAUGAAAGGGUUCAGCUGAUCGCUUUCUGUGAUAACUAGUGGGUGCUAAGUAUUCCUCUGAGGCUUCUUGGGUCAGCAGCUUCUCUGGGUACUGCAGUGAACUCGAGUCAGAAGAACGCUGAGCAGAUCCACCUGGCUUUGUGCAUCCAGCAUGGAACUCCUGAACUCAGCUCCCUCCUUGCACUUCCCACACCCUACACUCCAGUGUUAGGCCAUGUGCCACAGCUCCAAGGGUGUGGAGAAAGGCAAAAAAAAUUCACAAAGGCCUCACCUGAGCUGGCAGAAAUUGACAAGAGGAAAUCUUGGGCUUGAAGAUGUACCUUAGAGUCUGUUGUGUGUCAUAACCCACCCUAGGCCUUUAUUGGGACUCUCCAGAAGACAGGAAGGCAUUUCAGGCCUGUUCCAAGUUGUUGAUAGUCCAGUCUUAAAAGAACAGUCUAAACAAAGCAUCUGGACUAGAUCUUCCUGCUGCAGUUCAGCACUUCUUCCUGUCCGAAUCAAAGCCUGGUUCUCCAUCUUUUUAUUCCUCCUGUCCCCCUGGAGAGUGACUGUGGAUGGAAACAGAAAGGAUGGGUUCACAUGGGAGCCUUGCCUGCCAAGAGAAGGAUUACCAGGAAAUGGAGGCUCCAUGUGAGCCUGCAGGAUGGCUCUGAGUUGGGGCUCCCCCUCCCGGCUAAGGAUAAACUUACGGGAUCCUCACGCCCGUGCGAUGUUUGAGGCCCCCGGCAGUUGAGGUCCCUCCACCGGACUCGUCCCGCUGCCCCGGCACAGCAGCUCAGAGGAUGGCAGUCCCUGUCCUGCCCUCUUCGUCAGGACUUGGUGCAGAAGACAUGAGAGGACUUGGGAAAGGACAAGGGAGGGGAAAGGGAAGGGAGGGCUCGUAGGAGCCUUGGCUGUGAAAAGAAGAACACUCAGGAAAUGGAGGCUCCACAUGAGCCCACAGGAUGGCCGUGAGCUGGGGCUCUCCUGGGUAAGGAUAAACUUACAGGACGGGAGGAUCAGCACCGGCGUCGAGGCGGCCAUUUCGCGGGAGGUGGACGGAUCCUGGCGCCCCUGCGGUGACAUCUGGGGCACAUCCUCUUCCUCACUGGCCUGGCAGCAGUAGAGAGAUGGGCAGUGUGCCCCGAUGGAGGUGGAUCCACUUCCAUCAGGUCAUCUUCUACAGGUGGAUCCACCUCCAUGGGCUCUUCUUUGCUGCCAGGCGGGUCCACCUGCAUGGGCUCAAUGUCAUGAGCUUCUUCCAGCAGCCGCCUCUUCUUUAAAGGUGGCUGCUCCAUCCCGUCCUUGGAAAUCAGAAGAAAUAAAAUGUAUCUCUCGCGGAGAGACUGUGCGG